AAAAACAUGUCUUUUUAGUUAUUUAAUAUAAAGUCUGACCUGCCCACUGAAUUUAUUUUGAAGGGCCGCAGUAUUUUGACUGUGCAAAGGUAGCAUAAUCAUUAGUCUUUUAAUUGAAGGCUGGUAUGAAUGGUUGGAUGAGGUACAAGCUGUGUCAUAAAAAUUAAUAUUUGAAUUUAACUUUUUAGUCAAAAGGCUAAAAUUUAAUUGAAAGACGAGAAGACCCUAUAGAGCUUUAUAUAAUGAUUAUUUAAUUUAUUAAGAUUUAUUAAAUUUAAUUAUUUUAUUGUAUUUUGUUGGGGUGACAAUAAAAUUUAAAAAACUUUUAUUAUUAUUUUACAUUUAUUUAUGAUUUUAUGAUCCAGUUUUAUUGAUUAUAAAUUUAAGUUACCUUAGGGAUAACAGCGUAAUUUUUUUUGAGAGUCCAUAUCGACAAAAAAGAUUGCGACCUCGAUGUUGGAUUAAGAGUAAUUUUGGGUGUAGAAGUUCAAAGUUUAAGUCUGUUCGACUUUUAAAUUCUUACAUGAUCUGA
rnacentral:rRNA from 1 species